CGUGGCCUUUUGGUUAAGACGCCAGGCUGAUAAUCUGAUGGUCGUAGGGUCGA
rnacentral:tRNA from 11 species